GGGGUCUCUCAGUGCCCAGCGAAGCCUGGCUAGGAUGUCUCGGCUUGCUGCUGGGCAGCAAUGACAGUGUUUUAUGGCUGAGACUUCUGAGACUCUAGACCGACAUGGGAGGUCCAAGUAGGCUAAACGUGUCUGCCUGCCAACCCCUUAACAAGUAACUCAAGCAAGAAGCUUGUUAUUAGCCGAGAGGAGUCAAACUGUCCCGUAAUUCAGUCACCUACGCGGAACAAGUCCCACCCGGCGCAGAGACUCCAGCUGGGUCCCUUGUGGCGUUUCCCCUAACGUCUCAGCUAAGAUUGGGCAGAACCUUACACUUCUGAGCACACUUGGGCUGUCUUAUAUGCUGUGUUUUCUACUGCAAUCCACUGAUUUUUGCUUCUUAAAAUAUCUGAACAGGUGCAUUUACUGCACCCUGGAAGUUUUUUUCUCACCGGAAGGAGCACUGCAAAGACAGAUAUGAAAACUGAACUGAGAUUAAGAAACAGCUACUAAACACCGGGGUCCUUGGAAGCCAUAUGCUGCAUUGGACUAGGAACCUAGUACACCAAAUUAAAAGUCUGAAAACCUGAAUUCCAGUCCAUUCACAAUUUGCAGACAGGUACAAUACAAACCAACCAAUACCAGAUGUUUAGAUGAUUUUUUAAAGUGUUACAGAGAAGAUGAUAGUGCUGCUGCUGCUGCUAAGUCCCUUCAGUCGUGUCAGACCCUGUGAGACCCCAGAGAUGGCAGCCCACCAGGCUCCGCCAUCCCUGGGAUUCUCCAGGCAAGAACACUGGAGUGGGUUGCCAUUUCCUUCUCCAGUGCAGGAAAGUGAAAAGUGAAAGAAGUCGCUCAGUCCUGUCCGACUCUUUGCAACCCCAUGGACUGCAGCCUACCAGGCUCCUGAGUACCUAAUAAAAUUAGAAAUCUUGGUAGCUGUUCUCUGUGUCCUGUGUUCUGAAGCUCAGACCAAUUUAUCUCUUACAAGGAUUAUUAUAGAAGUCUCCUAAU
ensembl:lncRNA